GACGAACGCUGGCGGCGUGCUUAACACAUGCAAGUCGAACGGAAAGGCCCUGCUUUUGUGGGGUGCUCGAGUGGCGAACGGGUGAGUAACACGUGAGUAACCUGCCCUUGACUUUGGGAUAACUUCAGGAAACUGGGGCUAAUACCGGAUAGGAGCUCCUGCUGCAUGGUGGGGGUUGGAAAGUUUCGGCGGUUGGGGAUGGACUCGCGGCUUAUCAGCUUGUUGGUGGGGUAGUGGCUUACCAAGGCUUUGACGGGUAGCCGGCCUGAGAGGGUGACCGGCCACAUUGGGACUGAGGAACGGCCCAGACUCCUACGGGAGGCAGCAGUGGGGAAUAUUGCACAAUGGGCGGAAGCCGGAUGCAGCAACGCCGCGUGCGGGAUGACGGCCUUCGGGUUGUAAACCGCUUUCGCCUGUGACGAAGCGUGAGUGACGGUAAUGGGUAAAGAAGCACCGGCUAACUACGUG
rnacentral:rRNA from 1 species